rnacentral:rRNA from 1 species
UACGAGGGGGGCAAGCGUUGUUCGGAAUUAUUGGGCGUAAAGGGCGCGUAGGCGGUUUGUACAGUCAGACGUGAAAUUCCUGGGCUCAACCUGGGGGCUGCGUUUGAUACGUGCGGACUUGAGUUCGGAAGAGGGUCGUGGAAUUCCCAGUGUAGAGGUGAAAUUCGUAGAUAUUGGGAAGAACACCGGUGGCGAAGGCGGCGACCUGGUCCGAUACUGACGCUGAGGCGCGAAAGCGUGGGGAGCAAACAGG